rnacentral:rRNA from 1 species
CCUACGUGAGGCAGCAGUAGGGAAUAUUGCUCAAUGGGGGAAACCCUGAAGCAGCAACGCCGCGUGGAGGAUGAAGGUUUUCGGAUUGUAAACUCCUUUGGUUAGAGAAGAUAAUGACGGUAUCUAACGAAUAAGCACCGGCUAACUCCGUGCCAGCAGCCGCGGUAAUACGGAGGGUGCAAGCGUUACUCGGAAUCACUGGGAGUAAAGAGGGAGUAGGCUGGAUAGCAAGUCAGAUGUGAAAUCCUAUGGCUUAACCAUAGAACUGCAUGUGAAAAUGUUAUUCUAGAGUAUGGGAGAGGUAGGUGGAAUUCUUGGUGUAGGGGUAAAAUCCGUAGAGAUCAAGAGGAAUACUCAUUGCGAAGGCGACCUGCUAGAACAUAACUGACGCUGAUGCGCGAAAGCGUGGGGAGCAAACAGGAUUAGAUACCCCAGUAGUC